rnacentral:rRNA from 1 species
GACGAACGCUGGCGGCGCGCUUAACACAUGCAAGUCGAACGGGGCCCUUCGGGGUUCAGUGGCGAACGGGUGCGUAACACGUGAGCAACCUGCCCAUGCAUGGGGGAUAACCAAGGGAAACCUUGGCUAAUACCGCAUACGUUCCCCGGGUCGAUUGACCUGGGGAGGAAAGCUGCUGAAAGGCAGCGUGCGUGGAGGGGCUCGCGGCGUAUCAGGUAGCUGGUGAGGUAACGGCUCACCAGGCCGACGACGCGUAGCCGAUCUGAGAGGAUGAUCGGCCACAUUGGGACUGAGAUACGGUCCAGACUCCUACGGGAGGCAGCAGUGGGGAAUCUUGCGCAAAUGGGCGAAAAGCCUGACGCAGCGACGCCGCGUGCGGGAGGAAGCUCUUCGGGGUGUAAACCGCUGUCAGGGGGGAAGAACGGGACCGGGGAGGAAAUGCUCCGGUUUUGACGGUACCCCCAGAGGAAGCACCGGCUAACUCUGUGCCAGCCGCCGCA